AUUGAACGCUGGCGGCAUGCCUUACACAUGCAAGUCGAACGGUAACGCGGGGCAACCUGGCGACGAGUGGCGAACGGGUGAGUAAUGCAUCGGAACGUGCCCAGUAGUGGGGGAUAGCCCGGCGAAAGCCGGAUUAAUACCGCAUACGACCUACGGGUGAAAGCGGGGGACCGUAAGGCCUCGCGCUAUUGGAGCGGCCGAUGUCAGAUUAGGUUGUUGGUGGGGUAAAAGCCUACCAAGCCGAGGAUCUGUAGCUGGUCUGAGAGGACGACCAGCCAGACUGGGAUUGAGACACGGCCCAGACUCGUACGGGAGGCAGCAGUGGGGAAUGUUGGACAAUGGGGGCAACCCUGAUCCAGCCAUGCCGCGUGCGGGAAGAAGGCCUUCGGGUUGUAAACCGCUUUUGUCAGGGAAGAAACGCUCUGGGCUAAUACCCCGGGGUAAUGACGGUACCUGAAGAAUAAGCACCGGCUAACUACGUGCCAGCCGCCGCCGUAAUAC
rnacentral:rRNA from 1 species